UACGGAGGGGGCUAGCGUUGUUCGGAAUUACUGGGCGUAAAGGGCGCGUAGGCGGUGUGUCAAGUCAGGCGUGAAAGCCCCGGGCUCAACCUGGGAACCGCGCUUGAGACUGGCACGCUAGAGUUCGGGAGAGGAUGGUGGAAUUCCCAGUGUAGAGGUGAAAUUCGUAGAUAUUGGGGAAGAACACCGAUGGCGAAGGCAGCCAUCUGGACCGACACUGACGCUGAGGCGCGAAAGCGUGGGGGAGCAAACAGGG
rnacentral:rRNA from 1 species